rnacentral:rRNA from 1 species
UACGAAGGGGGCUAGCGUUGCUCGGAAUUACUGGGCGUAAAGCGCACGUAGGCGGCUUGUUAAGUCAGGGGUGAAAUCCUGGAGCUCAACUCCAGAACCGCCUUUGAUACUGGCGAGCUUGAGUUCGGGAGAGGUGAGUGGAACUGCGAGUGUAGAGGUGAAAUUCGUAGAUAUUCGCAAGAACACCAGUGGCGAAGGCGGCUCUCUGGCCUGUAACUGACGCUGAGGCGCGAAAGCGUGGGGAGCAAACAGG